UAUUUUUUUAAAUGUUUAGUUUUGAGAGAGAGAGAAAGACAGAGUGUCAGGAACAGGGGAGGGACGGAAAGAGAGGGAGAUACAGAAUGCGAAGCAGGCUCCAGGCUCUGAGCUAUCAGCGCAGGGCUCAGUGUGGGGCUCCAACCCACAAACUGCAGGAUCAUGAUCUCAGCUGAAGUCGGAUGCCCAGCCACCUGAGCCACCCAGGUGCCCCUGAUCUCAGUUUUCUACUUUAAAUUCUGUUUUUUCCCUAUUAUCCUACGCUAGCUAUUGGACCUCCGGCAUGCUCCAUAAACUCCGAGCCUCAGCCUUAGUCUUCCCAUCUGUGGAAUAGGAGUGACAAUGACAUCUACCUGACCAGGUUGAUAUGCACAGGAACUGAGAAUCAUUGCAAAGUGUGGAAUGCAGUGCCCUGCACAUCACAAGAGCCCUCGAUUAAUUUCAGCAUUUGUUUUGGACUGAGGCUAGAGGCCCACGGCUAUAUAAAAUGAGUCCUUUGUUAAGAUGGAAAAAAGCAGUUGAAAAAUCACAUGUUCAAGGCUGGCUUGCCCAACGACUGUUCAAAAAUAAUGAAGAAGCAGUUUGCCUAGCAUUUUGGCCCGUUGAAGUUUGGAGAAGAAGUUUGAGAGCGUGAGUCUGCAUAUCAUUAUACCAACAACACAGAGACAAGAGAGAGAACGAGCAUGCGAGAGCAAGGGAGAGGGGCAGAAGAAGAGGCGGAGAGAAUCUUAAGCAGACUCCACGCUCAGCAUGGAGCCCGACGCAGGGCUCAAUCCCGUGAGCCUGGUAUCAUGACCUGAACCGAAAUCAAGGGUCAGACAUUCAACCAACUGAGCCACCCAGGCACCCCAGUUGUUAUUAUUAUUUUUUUAAGUAAUCUCUGCACCCAGCGUGGGUCUCCAGCUUACAACCCCGAGAUCAAGAGUCCGAUGCUCUACCUACUGGGACAGUUCAGGUGCCCUGGGUUUGAUUUUAUAAGGAAGUACCACAGUGUUUUCCGGAAUGGCUGCACAGUUUUGCAUUCCCACUUGCAACGUAGAAGAGGUUUGUUGAUAGACAGACAGAGCACAAGCUGGGGAGGGGCAGAGACAGCCAGAGACAGAAUCUGAAGCAGGCUGCAGGCUCUGAGCUGUCAGCACAGAGCCUGACGUGGGGCUUGAAACCAUGAACUGUAUGGAUCAUGACCUGAGCCGAAGUUGGACACCCAACAGACUGAGCCACCCAGGCGCCCCUAAUAUUUAUUUAUUUUUGAGAGAGAGAG